rnacentral:lncRNA from 1 species
AUGACAUGCUUAGGGAAGAUUUAUAAUCAGUGGGUUAAGAUGAUUACAAAGUCCUGGAUAGAAUGUUUGUUAACUAGAAUUUUGGAUACAAUGGCAGAUUCCCUCAAUCAUUCUAUGGACAAGAAAAUGAAGAAGGAACAUCAUAAGGAAAAUAGAGAAGUUUUCUCUGCCUUCAGGAGGGAUGAAUACAACCAAAAAUGCCUAUCUAAAUUCAUUUCCUUCAACUUGAAACAAAGCUCAAUGGAACCCUGUAAUAUACAUGAACAAGUUUCUGGAAUUUAUGAGAAUCACUGGGACCUGAUCAAGAAAAUACAACCAAAGCAUGGUUUCCAAGCGCUGAUGGAAUAA